UUUCCGGUUGAUCCCGCCAGACCCGACUGCUAUCAGAGUAGGACUAAGCCAUGCGAGUCAACGCCGCAAGGCGUGGCAUACGGCUCAGUAACACGUAGUCAACAUGCCCAAAGGACGUGGAUAACCUCGGGAAACUGAGGAUAAACCGCGAUAGGCCAAGGUUUCUGGAAUGAGCCAUGGCCGAAAUCUAUAUGGCCUUUGGAUUGGACUGCGGCCGAUCAGGCUGUUGGUGAGGUAAUGGCCCACCAAACCUAUUACCGGUACGGGCUUUGAGAGAAGGAGCCCGGAGAUGGGCACUGAGACAAGGGCCCAGGCCCUAUGGGGCGCAGCAGGCGCGAAACCUCUGCAAUAGGCGAAAGCCUGACAGGGUUACUCUGAGUGAUGCCCGCUAAGGGUAUCUUUUGGCACCUCUAAAAAUGGUGCAGAAUAAGGGGUGGGCAAGUCUGGUGUCAGCCGCCGCGGUAAUACCAGCACCCCGAGUUGUCGGGACGAUUAUUGGGCCUAAAGCAUCCGUAGCCUGUUCUGCAAGUCCUCCGUUAAAUCCACCUGCUCAACGGAUGGGCUGCGGAGAAUACCGCAGAGCUAGGAGGCGGGAGAGGCAAACGGUGCUCAGUGGGUAGGGGUAAAAUCCAUUGAUCUACUGAAGACCACCAGUGGCGAAGGCGGUUUGCCAGAACGCGCUCGACGGUGAGGGGUGAAAGCUGGGGGAGCAAACCGGAUUAGAUACCCGGGUAGUCCCAGCUGUAAACGAUGCAGACUCGGUGAUGGGUUGGCUUCGAGCCAACCCAGUGCCGCGGGGAAGCCGUUAAGUCUGCCGCCUGGGGAGUACGGUCGCAAGACUGAAACUUAAAGGAAUUGGCGGGGGAGCACCACAAGGGGUGAAGCUGCGGUUCAAUUGGAUUCAACGCCGGGAA
rnacentral:rRNA from 1 species